AGAGUUUGAUCCUGGCUCAGGAUGAACGCUGGCGGCGUGCCUAAUACAUGCAAGUCGAACGGGGAGUAUUAAUUUCGGUUUUUACUCCUAGUGGCGAACGGGUGAGUAACGCGUUGGUGACCUGCCCCGAAGAGGGGGACAACAGCUCGAAAGGGCUGCUAAUACCCCAUGUGGUCGUACAGGUUAGAGGCUGAACGACUAAAGGAGCAAUCCACUUCGGGAGGGGCCUGCGUCCCAUCAGCUAGUUGGUAAGGUAACGGCCUACCAAGGCGAAGACGGGUAGGGGGCCUGAGAGGGUGGCCCCCCACACUGGCACUGAAACACGGGCCAGACACCUACGGGUGGCAGCAGUAGGGAAUAUUGCACAAUGGGCGAAAGCCUGAUGCAGCAACGCCGCGUGCGCGAAGAAGGCCUUCGGGUUGUAAAGCGCUUUUCUGGAGGAAGAGGAAGGACGGUACUCCAGGAAUAAGGAUCGGCUAACUACGUGCCAGCAGCCGCGGUAACACGUAGGAUCCGAGCGUUAUCCGAAUUUACUGGGCGUAAAGCGCGUGUAGGCGGCUGGGUAAGUUGGACGUGAAAGCUCCUGGCUCAACUAGGAGAGGUCGUUCAAAACUGCCUGGCUAGAGGGCGACAGAGGGAGGUGGAAUUCCCGGUGUAGUGGUGAAAUGCGUAGAUAUCGGGAGGAACACCAGUGGCGAAGGCGGCCUCCUGGGUCGCACCUGACGCUCAGACGCGAAAGCUAGGGGAGCGAACGGGAUUAGAUACCCCGGUAGUCCUAGCUGUAAACGAUGUGAACUUGGCGUUGGUGGGGUCAAAUCCAUCAGUGCCGGAGCUAACGCGAUAAGUUCACCGCCUGGGGACUACGGUCGCAAGGCUAAAACUCAAAGGAAUUGGCGGGGGCCCGCACAAGCAGCGGAGCGUGUGGUUUAAUUCGAUGUUACACGAAGAACCUUACCCGGGUUUGACAUCCAGGUGGUAGGGAACCGAAAGGCAACCGACCCUUCGGGGAGCCUGGACAGGUGCUGCAUGGCUGUCGUCAGCUCGUGUCGUGAGAUGUCCGGUUAAGUCCGGUAACGAGCGCAACCCUUGCUGUAUGUUAUACGUGUCAUACAGGACUGCCGGUUUAGUGCCGGAGGAAGGCGGGGAUGACGUCAAGUCAGCAUGGCCUUUAUAUCCGGGGCUACACACACGCUACAAUGGCCAGUACAACAGGUUGCAAAACCGCGAGGUGGAGCCAAUCCCCAAAACUGGUCUCAGUUCAGAUUGCAGGCUGCAACUCGCCUGCAUGAAGUCGGAGUUGCUAGUAACCGCGCGUCAGCUAUAGUGCGGUGAAUACGUUCUCGGGCCUUGCACACACCGCCCGUCACGUCAUGGAAGCUGGCAACACCUGAAGCCGGUAUCCUAACCGCAAGGAUGGAGCCGUCGAAGGUGGGGCUGGUGACUGGGACGAAGUCGUAACAAGGUAGGUGUACCGGAAGGUGCGGCUGGAUCACCUCCUU
rnacentral:rRNA from 1 species